rnacentral:rRNA from 1 species
CACGCAGGCGGUCCGCCAAGUUCACGGCGACAGUUACCGGCUUAACCGGUGAAGGACGGUGAACACUGGUGGACUUGAGAGCGAGAGAGGGACAUGGAACUCCAGGUGGAGCGGUGAAAUGCGUAGAGAUCUGGAAGAACACCAAAGGCGAAGGCAGUGUCCUGGCUCGUCUCUGACGCUCAGGGGCGAAAGCUAGGGGAGCGAACAGGAUUAGAUACCCUGGUAGUCCUAGCUGUAAACGAUGACCACUAGACGUACGGAGGAUCGACCCUCUGUGUGUCGUAGCCAACGCGAGAAGUGGUCCGCCUGGGGAGUACGGUCGCAAGAUUAAA